rnacentral:rRNA from 1 species
GACGAACGCUGGCGGCGUGCUUAACACAUGCAAGUCGAACGGUAAGGCCCUUCGGGGUACACGAGUGGCGAACGGGUGAGUAACACGUGGGUGAUCUGCCCUGCACUUCGGGAUAAGCCUGGGAAACUGGGUCUAAUACCGGAUAGGACUUCUGCCUGCAUGGGUGGUGGUGGAAAGCUUUUGCGGUGUGGGAUGGGCCCGCGGCCUAUCAGCUUGGUGGGGGGGUGAUGGCCUACCAAGGCGACGACGGGAAGCCGGCCUGCGAGGGUGACCGGCCAGACUGGGAAUGGGAUACGGCAGAGACGCCUACGGGAGGGAGCGGUGGGGAAGAUUGCACAAUGGGCGGAAGGCUGAUGCGGCGACGCCGCGUGAGGGGUGACGGCCUUCGGGUUGUAAACCUCUUUCAGCACCGACGAAGCGCAAGUGACGGUAGGUGCAGAAGAAGGACCGGCCAACUACGUGCCAGCAGCCGCGGUAA